UUAAAUUUCCUCCAUCCUUACACUGUCACAGUGAGCAUAGGAUUGCCUUUCAGGUCUUUUACCAUAUGACAAUCUGUAAUUUUGAGGCUAGUUGCAAGCAAAUUCUCAGUAACAAUAUUUAUGCUUUGUGUCCAGCAAUCUCCAAACUAUAAUUUGUGUAGAAAGUCACAUUGGGGAAAUCUUGCAUAAUAACAUGCACAGUUUGAUCAGCUGUAAAACUUUCUGCAAUUUGCUAGUUAAUAACUGUAAAAGUGUUCUGAAUAAUUAAACAUUUUUAUGGUAGCUUUAAAGUUGAUUUUUGGGAAAUGGAAAUUCAUAUUUCAAAUUAUAAAUCCAACUGGCUUUGAAUGCACGUUUGAAAUGACGAAUACCUGUUUUUGGAUGAGACUAUGUACCAAAUGUUAAUCGACAAACUGGAAUACCAGGAAGAAGUGAUCAUAUCACUAUUUUUAUUUUAUAAACUCACUUACAAUGGUACUUAUGCAUGGGUUACACAAUACUUGUACUUCCCUCACAGCAUGCAAUUUUAAUAGUUGGCACACUAAAAGGAAACAUCAUGCACGUAAUGAUUGCAAAGCUCCUUUUUUGAAUAGUAAGUUCCCAAUAUUGCUUAUGUCACCUGAGUGUAUUGACCAUAAAUAGAAAGCCCCUUUCUCUGGUUCUGGCAAACUGGAUACAAUUUAAAUUGAGCUGCUUGCUCUCUCUCAACUCUAUGCUAUACCUAUGUAUGUAUUGUGAAAGAAUGAUGUGACCUGUGAUUCUAAUAUAGGACUAUAACUCUGACUUUAGUGAAGUGUUUCAACCUUGCAAUGUGUGCUGUCAUCUUUAACCUCAAACUGCAUGCUUGUAUUGGUGACUAAGAAUGCAAUCCUAUGACUACCUCAUUCUGGUGCCAUAAAAAAAUUUAUAAUCAAGUGAAUUUCAGGCAGUCAUGCACUUGUGGUUUUUGAAUUUUUUUAUGUGAAAUGUAAUAUAUGCAAUAAAAACAAUUUUAUUAAGUGUUCUGACUUUGUGGGAUAAAGGUUGAAUGCUUUAGACUUUUGCUGUGGUUCAAAAUCUAAUAUAAUUCAAAAGCCCCUCAUGAUUUGAGAGGAAAUCAAAAACAACAAACUGGGACAAUGCAAGAUGUUUCUAUGCUGUAGUGCCCCAAGGAUGGUGGGGAAAUGAGAAUUCAGCUGUUUUGUAUACCACCCUUUAUCUGAGUAUUUGUUGGGAAAAUGAGCUAUUUUACUAACUCCUGGGUGUUGCUGAAUCUAGAAAUGAAGCUUGGUUGUGAAAUUUUUUAGGAUGCCUUCAAGAUGAUAAAUUCAUUUCCUGAUUCCAUGGCAAUUGAGGGGGAAUUUCAAACUUGUUUUUCGGCUUCGAAAUGGAUAAACAAAAAUGAAAUUCCAUAUUUAAGUCACUUUUUUUUUUAAGGUUACACACUGCUAGCUGAAAUGCAUGGGAAUGGUGGCAGCUAAUGCAUGGAGAAUUUUGGUUGUUACUUAAUCUUUACAUGUUUUGAUUUAUUGUCAUGUUUACCAAAGUAUGGUGAAAAGGCUUUGUUUACAAGCAGUACAGGAAGAUUAUAGUCAGUAAGAACAUGCAGAUCACAGGUUGAAAAAGAACCUGUAUAGAGUGACAAGCAGAAGGCUGGAAGGACAUAACAAGUUAGGCAACAUCAGGAGUGGAAAGUCAACAUUUUGGGUGUAACCCUUCUCUGGGAUUUAACACAAGAUGUGCACAAAGCAAGAUCAACAUUUUGUUUGAGGCUGGCGAGUCCAUUCAUCAGUCCAACGGCAGGGAAGAAGCUACUCUUGAACUGCUGGUGUUCAAGCUUCUGUAUCUCCUGCCUGUAGAAGAACACUUCAGGGGUGGGGUGAAGGCAGUGCUGGUAAUUGUCAAACAUUUCAGCUGUGGGUCUGGAGUAUCUCAUAGGCCAGUCAGAGCCUCUAUCUCCUAUUCAGAUAUGUGGUUGCACACGCAACAAGAAAUAAAGGGGUAUGAAGUGUAGUACCCCCCAAGAUCAACAAUGAUCAUACUAAACAGUGGAGCAAGCUCAACAGGCCAUAUGAUCUACUUGAAUUAUUCUGUGAGCUGCUUUUUUUUUUUAAAAAAAAAAGACAAAUCAUGCUUGCAGAUAUGUGGAAGAUUUCAGUAACUGAUUCUUGUCCUAUGCUGAGACUUUGCACUAUACAUGCGUCUGUCUAAAACUGCUGAAUGAGGAGGUUUGCUAUAUCUUUGUAUGCCAUAUUAGAUGCAUUUGGUUUAAACAUCUGUCAUGGAAAAGUGAACUUAUUAUGGACUUCAUUUAGUAUCAGUGUCAAGUAAUCCUAAAAUGGAGAAUGUGAUUAUAGAAAGCACUUAUCGUGAAUUUGCUGUUCAGUUUGUGAUUUAAGUCCAGUUACACAGCAUUUUUUUUUCAACUUUUGGUUUGGAAAUGAUGCCUUUCAAUAUUAACUUUCGCAGUUUGUGCCAAAUACGAGAUGUAUGUUGGAAGGACAUAAAUUGAGUUUGUGAUCAGUUUGUAAAGUUUCAUAGGAAACGAUUCAUUAUAAAUUCUUUACCAAUCUUAAAGGGAUAAUUAAGUUCUCUUGAUAUUUCACUUGGGCCAAAACUCUACCAAAAACUUACUUGCACUACAAGUCCCAGACUUUGACAUAUACAUUUUACUUGUCCCUUCAGUUUAAGACCAUCUCAAUCUUGCAACACCAUUUCUAGCAUGCAACUAUACUAACCCUUAGUGUUUAUUAAAUACUACACCUCUGAUAACCAAGAUGUGGUGAUGCUUCUAGCAACAAGAACAGAUUUGAGCUGCUGAAAUCCAAAUUGUGUAAUGUCCUUGAAGCUUUGUUUUGAAGCACAAAAUGGGACAAGUAUAAUAUGGUUGGUUGUCUUCAGUAGAAGGGUGGUAAUAUAUAUUUAAAGCAGAUUUGCUACCAUCUUAAAUUAAUUUAACAUUCAAAUUUUUCUUGACAAUGAAUUGAGUGACUUGUAAGUUUAGAAUUACUUUGAAAGGUUGAUGUUUCUAAACUACUCAGAGUUCCAUAGUGCACUCUAGGUGCAAAGGAUUUAUAUCAAUAACAAUGGCAUGUGUACUCUGUAAUUUUCAACUUUUUUUUGUCAUUCCUUUUACAGGUGAAGGUUUCAACAGCCUUUUUUGUGAUCUCAAAUGUUGCAAUACUGCCUUGGCACCCUUCAUGAACUUAAGUUCAUCAGGAACUCACUGUCUAACUCUGAAUUUGCACCAUCUCAUUUGUGUAUAAUAUUGUACUCUGACUUUGAAUUUCCAAUUUCUGAAUGCUUCUAUUUUAAUGUUAUCCUCACAUGCAGUUCCCCUAAGUGGCCUUACUCUUUGCCAUCUAUGUAACUUUCCCAAUCUUAGAACUCUCCAUGCCUUUUGGUCCUACUUUGACUCUGACUCUGAUUACAAUCCAAUGAAGCAGCAGUGUUGGAUGAUUACAAGGAGAUCUUUUGAAUAGAGUUUCACAGCAUGAAAUCAGGGACGCUUUGGUACAAAUGGUCCACGCUGACCAUAUUCCUAAACUGAACUAGUCCCACCUGCCUGCGCUUGGACCAUAACCCUCAACUUUUUCCUACUAGUGAACCUAUCUAAAUGUCUCAACAUUGUAACUCUACCUAUAUCCAUCAUUUUCUCUGGCAUCUACUCCACACCAUUUGUUUUUAAAAUAAAAACAAAGUCCCUCCUGUAGUUAAAUUUUUCUCUCCCCUUAAUAUAACCCUAAUUUUGAACAACUCCACCCUAGGAAAAGACACUUGUUGUUCAUCUUAUUGAUGCCUCUCAUAAUUUUUGAAACUUGUUUCCUCCAGUCAAAAGUCCCAGCCUUUCUAGUGUUUUUUUUUUCCUUUUGGUUGUUGAAACUCAAACCCUCCAUUCC